CCUACGGGAGGCUGCAGUGGGGGAUAUUGGACAAUGGGGGAAACCCUGAUCCAGCGACGCCGCGUGAGUGAAGAAGUAUUUCGGUAUGUAAAGCUCUGUCAGCAGGGAAGAAAGAAAUGACGGUACCUGACCAAGAAGCGCCGGCUAACUACAUGCCAGCAGCCGCGGUAAGACGUAGGCGGCAGGAGUUAUGCGGAAUUACUGGGUGUAAGGGGAGCGUAGACGGGGAUGCAAGUCUGGAGUGAAGGGCGGGGGCCCAACCCCCGAACUGCUUUGGAGAUUGUGUAACUUGAGUGCAGGAGAGGUAAGCGGAAUUCCUAGUGUAGCGGUGAAAUGCGUAGAUAUUAGGAGGAACACCAGUGGCGAAGGCGGCUUACUGGACUGUAACUGACGUUGAUGCUCGAAAGCGUGGGGAGCAAACAGGAUUAGAUACCCCAGUAGUC
rnacentral:rRNA from 1 species